AUGGAGGUUCUACAUGAUGGUUCAUCAAGGAUUUAUAUUUCUUCUCGAAGUGUUCAUCGAGAUUCUUUUCUAAGAAACUCAAGCAUUCUUCAUCUUGCUAUCCGGAGUGCAAUUUCUUUCUACCGUAUCUUUGGAGGUGGUAUUAUGUCCUUCUUGAUAAUUCCCCUUCGUUGCUUCGUGAGUCACAAGUUUUUCAAGAGUGACAUAUUUAAAUCCAUCUUUUUCUCUUUGUUCAAGAGAUCUUUUCAACCGUCAAUCUCUUCAUUGGAGUUAUCUUGGUAUAGAUUUCACCUUAAGCCUUCCCUAAGGAUGGUUGUUAUUAUGGUGCUUAUAAAUGAUCCAAGUUUCUUCAUUUAUCCUCCCGGUGAAAUAAGUUUCUCGUCUUCUUGUUCAUAUCAAUCCAAUCUUGUUUUUUCGUAA
rnacentral:rRNA from 1 species